rnacentral:misc_RNA from 1 species
CACCAACUUCACUCUCCUCUUCCCUCUUGCUGAUUCUAUCUGAUUUAACCUCUUCUGAUGCUCACGGCCGUGAAUUUGCUUAAAGUGAUUCAUGAAUUUCUCAUUGUUAUAAAACUUUCUUCCACAAACUCCACAUAGAUGUGGUUCAAUUGGUUUAAUCACACCUUUGUUUUCUAACUGAUUCAACAAUCUUCUUUCUUUUCUUUG